ACACAGCGGGAUAGUGAGGAGCCCGGUGAAAAGCACAGACUAUGGUGCUGAAAUGGAUUAAUAAGGAACUUAGUGAUUUGGCCCGUGACCCUCCAGCACAAUGUUCUGCAGAUCCAGUUGGAGAUGACAUGUUUCAUUGGCAAGCCACAAUUAUGGGACCUAAUGACAGCCCAUAUCAAGGUGGUGUAUUUUUUUUGACAAUUCAUUUUCCUACAGACUACCCCUUCAAACCACCUAUGGUUGCAUUUACAACAAGAAUUAAUCAUCCAAAUAUUAACAGGAAUGGCAGCAUUUGUCUUGAUAUUCUAAGAUCACAUUGGUCUCCUGUUUUAACUAUUUCUAAAGUUCUUUUAUCCAUUUGUUCACUGUUAUGUGACUCAAACCCAGAUGACCCCCUAGUGCCAGAGAUUGCAUGGAUCUAUACAACAGAGAUAAGUACAACAGAAAAUCUCGGGAACGGUAUCAGAAGCAUGCCGGGUGA